AUUGAACGCUGGCGGCAUGCUUUACACAUGCCAGUCGAACGGUAACAGGCCUUCGGGUGCUGCCGAGUGGCGAACGGGGGGGUAAUGCACCGGAACGUACCCAGAGGUGGGGGAUAACGCAGCGUAAGCUGUGCUAAUACCGCCUGUGAUCUGAGGUUGCACGCGGGGGUCCGCGCAGCAAUGUUUGGCCUCGUGCCUUUGGAGCGGCCGAUGUCGGAUUAGCUAGUUGGUGGGGUAAAGGCCUAGCACGGCGACGAUCCGUAGCUGGUCUGAGAGGACGACCAGCCACACUGGGACUGAGACACGGCCCAGACUCCUGCGGGAGGCAGCAGUGGAGAAUUUUAGACAAGGGGGGCGAGCGUGAUACAGGAAUGCCGCGUGCGGGAAGAAGGCGUUCGGGUUGGAAAGCGCUUUUGGCAGGAACGAAACGAUGUCCGCUAAUACCGGGCGCUAAUGACGGUACCGGCAGAAUAAGCACCGGCUAACUACGUG
rnacentral:rRNA from 1 species